UAAAGUGCGAUAUUUAAUGCGAUUUGCAUGAAUCUGUGAGUCAUCUAAUCUUUGAACGCAACUUGCACCACCAUGUGGUAUGUCUGUUUGAGAGUUGUAACCAAAUGUAACAACGAUUUGGCCAUUGACAGUAAUGUCUGGGCUUGAAAAUAGUAAGAAAAGGAAUAGGUAGUUUCCCAUGUGAGUUAGAGACCUAGUGUCUUGUCAUAUAGGAUCCAACCAAUCCCUACACAUAUAUCUCAUCCAACCUCAAAUCAAACAAGAUUACCCGCUGAACUUAA
rnacentral:misc_RNA from 1 species